rnacentral:misc_RNA from 1 species
AACGCACAUUGCGCCCGCCAGUAUUCUGGCGGGCAUGCCUGUUCGAGCGUCAUUUCAACCCCUCAGGCCCCUGGGCUUGGUGUUGGGGAUCGGCCCGCCCCUGGCGGCGGCGCCGGCCCCGAAAUCGAGUGGCGGUCUCGCUGCAGCCUCCUCUGCGUAGUAGCACACACCUCGCACCGGGACGCAGCGCGGCCACGCCGUGAAACCCCCAACUCUCUCAAGGUUGACCUCGAAUCAGGUAGGACUACCCGCUGAACUUAA